AUACGGAGGAUGCAAGCGUUAUCCGGAUUUAUUGGGUUUAAAGGGUGCGUAGGCGGAGGAGUAAGUCAGGGGUGAAAUGCCGCAGCUCAACUGCGGAACUGCCUUUGAUACUGCUUUUCUGGAGUUCGGAUGCCGUGGGAGGAAUGGGCAGUGUAGCGGUGAAAUGCAUAGAUAUUGCCCAGAACACCGAUCGCGAAGGCAGCUUGCCGGGCCGCAACUGACGCUGAAGCUCGAAGGUGCGGGUAUCGAACAGGAUUAGAUACCCUGGUAGUCCGCACAGUAAACGAUGGAUACUCGCUGUCGGCGAUAUACGGUCGGUGGCCAAGCGAAAGCGUUAAGUAUCCCACCUGGGGAGUACGCCGGCAACGGUGAAACUCAAAGGAAUUGACGGGG
rnacentral:rRNA from 1 species